GACGAACGCUGGCGGCGCGCCUAACACAUGCAAGUCGAACGGGGCUACCUUUUCGGAAGUUUUCGGAUGGAAGAGGAAGUAGCUUAGUGGCGAACGGGUGAGUAACACGUGAGGAACCUGCCUUAAAGAGGGGGACAACAGUUGGAAACGACUGCUAAUACCGCAUAAGCCCACGGUGCCGCAUGGCACAGGGGGAAAAGGAGAAAUCCGCUUUAAGAUGGACUCGCGUCCAAUUAGCUAGAUGGUGAGGUAAAGGCUCACCAUGGCGACGAUUGGUAGCCGGACUGAGAGGUUGAACGGCCACAUUGGGACUGAGACACGGCCCAGACUCCUACGGGAGGCAGCAGUGGGGAAUAUUGCACAAUGGGGGAAACCCUGAUGCAGCGACGCCGCGUGGAGGAAGAAGGUUUUCGGAUUGUAAACUCCUGUCUUCGGGGACGAUAAUGACGGUACCCGAGGAGGAAGCCACGGCUAACUACGUGCCAGCAGCCGCGGUAAAACGUAGGUGGCAAGCGUUGUCCGGAAUUACUGGGUGUAAAGGGAGCGCAGGCGGGUCGGUAAGUUGGGAGUGAAAACUAUGGGCUCAACCCAUAAAUUGCUUUCAAAACUGCUGAUCUUGAGUGGUGUAGAGGUAGGUGGAAUUCCCGGUGUAGCGGUGGAAUGCGUAGAUAUCGGGAGGAACACCAGUGGCGAAGGCGGCCUACUGGGCACUAACUGACGCUGAGGCUCGAAAGCAUGGAUAGCAAACAGG
rnacentral:rRNA from 1 species